UUGCGCCUGCUUUGUUGGUGAUAGGGUAAAGGGUCGAUCCGCAACUCCUGGAAAAGGGAGUUUAUGUAAGGUGGUGCAUGAGCGCUCCUUAAUAGGAAGACGCCUAAGCCCACCUUCUAAACACCCACUUGUUGGUAGGGAUGUACCUCUUUUCCUACACCGCAAAGCGGGUGCUUU
rnacentral:other from 1 species